rnacentral:rRNA from 1 species
GACGUGACUUCAGAGUUUGAUCCGGCUCAGGAUGAACGCUGGCGGCGUGCCUAAUACAUGCAAGUCGAACGAAGCACUUUUGUGCUUAGUGGCGAACGGGUGAGUAAAAGAUAAGUAACCUGCCCUUGACAGGGGGAUAACGAUCGGAAACGAACGCUAAGACCGCAUAGGUAAUAUAACUGCAUGGUUAUAUUAUUAAAUAUCCUACGGGAUAGGUGAAGGAUGGACUUAUCACGCAUUAGCUAGUUGGAGAGGUAACGGCUCCCCAAGGCGACGAUGCGUAGCCGGCCUGAGAGGGCGGACGGCCACACUGGGACUGAGACACGGCCCAG